rnacentral:tRNA from 2 species
GCACUCGUAGCUCAGCUGGAUAGAGCAUUCGCUUGCGAAGCGAAAGGUCGCAGGUUCAAAUCCUGCCGAGUGCACCA